AUUGAACGCUGGCGGCAGGCCUAACACAUGCAAGUCGAGCGGAUGAAGGGAGCUUGCUCCUGGAUUCAGCGGCGGACGGGUGAGUAAUGCCUAGGAAUCUGCCUGGUAGUGGGGGAUAACGUCCGGAAACGGGCGCUAAUACCGCAUACGUCCUGAGGGAGAAAGUGGGGGAUCUUCGGACCUCACGCUAUCAGAUGAGCCUAGGUCGGAUUAGCUAGUUGGUGGGGUAAAGGCCUCCCCAGGCGACGAUCCGUAACUGGUCUGAGAGGAUGGUCAGUCACAGUGGAACUGAGACACGGUCCAGACUCCUACGGGAGGCAGCAGUGGGGAAUAUUGGACAAUGGGCGAAAGCCUGAUCCAGCCAUGCCGCGUGUGUGAAGAAGGUCUUCGGAUUGUAAAGCACUUUAAGUUGGGAGGAAGGGCAGUAAGUUAAUACCUUGCUGUUUUGACGUUACCAACAGAAUAAGCACCGGCUAACUUCGUG
rnacentral:rRNA from 1 species